GUGGGGAAUAUUGCGCAAUGGGGGCAACCCUGACGCAGCCAUGCCGCGUGUGUGAAGAAGGCCUUCGGGUUGUAAAGCACUUUCAAUAGGGAGAAAAGGCCCACGGUUAAUACCCGUGGGAGUUGAUGUUACCUAUAGAAGAAGCACCGGCUAACUCCGUGCCAGCAGCCGCGGUAAUACGGAGGGUGCGAGCGUUAAUCGGAAUUACUGGGCGUAAAGCGCGCGUAGGCGGUCUGUUAAGUCAGCUGUGAAAGCCCCGGGCUCAACCUGGGAACUGCAGUUGAUACUGUCAGGCUGGAGUACGAGAGAGGGAGGUAGAAUUCCAUGUGUAGCGGUGAAAUGCGUAGAUAUAUGGAGGAAUACCGGUGGCGAAGGCGGCCUCCUGGCUCGAUACUGACGCUGAGGUGCGAAAGCGUGGGUAGCAAACAGGAUUAGAUACCCCAGUAGUCC
rnacentral:rRNA from 1 species